UCUUCUAGAACGCAAGGCUGUCGGAGUUCUAAAUCACGAACGUUUCGUGGUUGUUCGAUCGGUAAGGGUUAGUUAUUGGACGUUCCAUAACUAAUUUACACAAUGAAGAGUUGGUGUCCGAGGUGUCCUUGGUAGCUAUAACUAGCUUAUUGGAAAAGAGGAGUUCAUCUAAUUUCGAGGAUCGGUUCAAAGACGAGGAAAACCUGUGCCUAAAGCUGAGCUUAUUCUAAUUAAUUUUUCUUCAAAUUUAUUUAACUGCUUUUAUUAUUUCAUUUUCAACUUUUACUUUUUACGCGUUUUAUUUGUUUAUUUUAGGUUCCAGGUUUUCGAUUUUAUCCUCCCCCCUAAUAUCUUGGGCACGACAACUGCCCCAACAUAAAUCUGGUCAAGAGAGCAACAAUUUGCAGUAAAUCCAGUAUCUGAAGGAUCGACCCUACUCCCUAUACUGCUUAAAUUGCAAAUUAGGCGUAGGUUUAUAUUGGUGGACUCGACACCCAUC
rnacentral:lncRNA from 1 species